AAUCACCAAUAUGAUAAAACCAAAGCCCAUAGUGUUUCUCAAAAAAAAAAAAAAAACCCCAUAGUUAAUACAAUGUGUAUUUAUUUAUUAAAAAAAUCAAAUCCCAUACUUAUAGCGUAAACAGAAAAAAUAAAUCAAUACAGCCCAAUAUCAGAGCCUAUCGAGAACCUUCUACACCCUUUUAGGGUUCAUUGCUCAAAUACUCUCUCAUUUUAGGGUUUGAAGAUGAAUCAGCGCCGCUACUCCCUUCAUCUUCUCCCUCGUUCCUUUUCUAUCCCAAACCUUCCUCUGUCUUCUGCUACAUCCCUCGGUUUUCUUCUCCCGACCAAACCUUCCUCCUCCUUCCAAAUGCGCCGCUCACUCUCCCUUUUCUCCUCCGGUGGUUUAGGACGACGCCGAUUUUCUCCCUCUCAAUCACUCUCCCUAGUCCAAACCACCGACUCCGCCGUCACAUCUAGGCGGCGUCGCCUUCCUCCUCGGUGACGACGAAUGCGCUGCGGCCUCCCUCUGCGCAGCCCGUAUCCAGCCACCGCCGUCUGGUUUUCAAACGACGGAGUCGCCCAAGCCCUAGGCUCCAGAUAUCGUCCCCUUUCUCAUCUUUGCUGAUGUCGGCGCUGGAUGAACAUGGAGGAAAAAGAGAUAGGUAUUAUGUGGUAUCACUCUAACGCCUCUGGGUGAAGGUAUCAUCACUACCUUCAUUUUGAAUUAAACUCCCCUGGCUGAUGUAACAUCUCCAAUGCCUAUUUUAUGCAUUUGCUAUUUAAUUAGAAAAGGUAUUUCAUUAGCUCUGACUGAUGAUACCUAUACUAUUUUAUGUGUUUGCUCUGAGUGAAAAUCGCUUGCAAAAAAGUGAUGAUACCUUUGCUAUUUCAUUAGCAAAGGUAUUUUCGAAAAGAUGAGUAUUGAUGUGGCUCAGGUACUAAUUUCUUCUUAUGCUCAGUAGUUUUGUUUUACUUUGUCUGGAAACUGAAAUAUAGAGAAAUUAAGAAGUGGCCAUUUUCUCUCAUGCUGGCAUUUUUCUUAAAUGUUAGUUAAACAAAAAGAAAAAGAGAUGUGGUAGUAAUCUCGUGUGAUAUGAAGGUGCUAUAUGUAUUUUUGAAAAAUUAUUUUUUUCCCCAAAUUGUAUGUAUGUUUAGGCGUAAUUUUCUAGGUAUGAAAUAAUGUAUGAUACUUGUGAUUGAGAUGUAUGUAUUUUAUUAAAGAUUAUAUCUUAUAUUUUGUAAGAUUUAUUAUAAAAAUAUGGAUUCUUGUUCUGUGAUAAGGGCAGGGUGCCCUUAUCUUACAAAAUAUCUUACCUAUUUUAAAACUGCAUGAAGUUAAACCAUGGUAAUUGGAUUCUUGUUCUCAGUAGUCUCAUAUAGUGAAAUGAUGGAUGUUCUAUAGUUAUCCUCCUUGAUCUUUAGAGAAAUACCCUAUUUUUUUCUAGUUAUGUGUUUGAUCUUUCUCAAACUUUUCCUUGACUUCAAAAUUUCCUACAGGGUUGUGGUCGGAAAUUCCUCAGCUUCAUUUCCCUUGUGUUGCCAAUUAUAGUGGAAUUGAAGCCAAAAAGUGGAAUCAGAUCUUACAGAUAAUACUUCCAUUCUCCAAUGACAGCAAGUCUUCAUCUGUGGAGAAAAUUCAUAAAUAUUAGCUAUGUAUAAAAUUGAAAUAAGUGUUAGCAGAUCUUAGUAUUUGAGUUGUAAUUGAGAUUAAUAGUAAAUAGGCACAUUCCAAACAAAUAAAAAUAAAAGUACCAUAUAAAGAUAUAAAAACCCUAAAAUUAAAAGAAGAUCAAAAUGAAUUAGAACAAUGGAUCUUAGAGAGAGAAAAUCUGCAUUGUGAACCUUUUUUGAACAGAAAAAAUGAUCAGAUGAUGCAUGUAUUUAUAGACAAAUUUUAGUAUGUAUUUUGAAAUUCGAAAUUGAGUUUUGGCUCCAUGCUUGGGGGUUAAGUUUUAUAAA